AUUGAACGCUGGCGGAAUGCUUUACACAUGCAAGUCGAACGGCAGCACGGACUUCGGUCUGGUGGCGAGUGGCGAACGGGUGAGUAAUGUAUCGGAACGUGCCCAGUCGUGGGGGAUAACGUAGUGAAAAUUACGCUAAUACCGCAUACGAUCUAUGGAUGAAAGCGGGGGAUCGCAAGACCUCGCGCGAUUGGAGCGGCCGAUAUCAGAUUAGGUAGUUGGUGGGGUAAAGGCCCACCAAGCCAACGAUCUGUAGCUGGUCUGAGAGGACGUCCAGCCACACUGGAACUGAUACACGGUCCAGACUCCUACGGGAGGCAGCAGUGGGGAAUUUUGGGCAAUGGGCGAAAGCCUGAUUCAGCCAUUCCGCGUGCAGGAUGAAGGCCCUCGGGUUGUAAACUGCUUUUGUACAGAACGAAAAGGUUUCUACUAAUACUAGGAGCUCAUGACGGUACUGUAAGAAUAAGCACCGGCUAACUACGUGCCAGCCGCCGCAGUAA
rnacentral:rRNA from 1 species